UACGAGAGGCCCAAACGUUAUUCGGAAUUACUGGGCUUAAAGAGUUCGUAGGCGGCGCAGAAAGUAGGGUGUGAAAGCCCUCGGCUCAACCGAGGAAUUGCGCUCUAAACUACUGUGCUUGAGGGACCUAGAGGUGAGCGGAACUGAUGGUGGAGCGGUGAAAUGCGUUGAUAUCAUCAGGAAGCACCGGAGGCGAAGGCGGCUCACUGGGGGUCUUCUGACGCUGAGGAACGAAAGCCAGGGGAGCAAACGGG
rnacentral:rRNA from 1 species